AGCAGCCGCGGUAAUUCCAGCUCCAAUAGCGUAUAUUAAAGUUGUUGCAGUUAAAAAGCUCGUAGUUGAAUUUCGGGGUCAGUAGAUUGGUCGUGCCACUGGUAUGUACUGGUCUUACUGGCUCCUCCUUCCUGAUGAACCGUAAUGCCAUUAAUUUGGUGUUGCGGGGAGACUGGACUGUUACUUUGAAAAAAUUAGAGUGUUUAAAGCAGGCUAACGCUUGAAUACAUUAGCAUGGAAUAAUGAAAUAGGACGUUCGAUCUUAUUUUGUUGGUUUCUAAGAUUGACGUAAUGAUUAAUAGGGAUAGUUGGGGGCAUUAGUAUUCAAUUGUCAGAGGUGAAAUUCUUGGAUUUAUUGAAGACUAACUACUGCGAAAGCAUUUGCCAAGGAUGUUUUCAUUAAUCAAGAACGAAAGUUAGGGGAUCGAAGACGAUCAGAUACCGUCGUAGUCUUAACCAUAAACUAUGCCGACUAGGGAUCGGAUGAUGUUAAUUUUUUAAUGACUCAUUCGGCGCCUUACG
rnacentral:rRNA from 1 species